ACGAAAACAACAAAAAUCAAUCAUAACCUAUAAAAAUUUAUCCGUUUAUAUAUUUUAGUAUUUCCGACACAAUUCGAAAUCUAAACGUAAUUAUGCAAUUUAAGAGGGGAAGUUUUAAAGUGAAUUCUCUAGCCUAGAAAAUUGGGGUUAAUUGGGUUUUAUUAGAUUCUCGACUGAAUCAGGAUGCGGUUUUAAAUGAUUAAAUUAAUGGGAAAACUUAGGUUGCUUUAAGAUACCUUUUCUGAUGGCUUAUUGUUUUAAAUAAAUAAAUAUAUUGGUAAUCGAUUAUGUUAUCAAUUAGAUAAAAGAUAUUUUCACAUGUAAAUAUAACAUUAUCAUGGUUUAAUGCCUAUCAACCAUGAUAAAAACGCCUACCGAUCCAAUCGAUACAGUUAAUUGUGCGGUUUUUCGUGGAACGAAGCGAAGUUAUUAAUAAAUUACUACCCCGUCGUUAAAUUAACUUCCACAACCGGAAAUCGAACGUUCAUAAAUAUUUGGCUACUCGAAUUCAUUUUUCCUACAUCAUCAUGUCAUAUCCAUUAUAACUAGAUUAACUCACAUUUUAUCAAUAUCUUCCCAUUAUAUUUUUUAAUUACUUUUUACUAUGCAAAAUAUGUAAAUUAAUGCGUGAUUAUGCAAUAUUGAGUUGUGUAAAUUUUGAAAUAUCCCUUUUGGAAGCAGUUUUAUGUUUCAUAUUGAUCGAUUUAAAAAACGAAGGUGGUAACGAAGAGAUGAUGGUUUAAACGAUCGAAAACGGUGUAUUUUUACAUUUUUGCACCAUUGCACCAGUCUGCAGCAGGUCUCAGAGAAUGAAAUAGUAAAUUAUAAACGGAGUUUGGUCACGCGAUUCUUGAAUAUUCAAGAUUCCAACCACAAUUGCUUAACAUAAAUCGCCUUUUAAACUCCAUUUUAAAAGAAUCAAUGUGAAAAUGUGGCGACGAUUUUUAAGAGGAACGAUUUGAAGAAAUGGAUCGGGAAUCGCGAACGAUUGAUGGCUUUUGACAAACUAAGGGCAUGCAGGUGUGUUCUCUGGUUGUUGCGCAGACGUCCUGAAAACGUCGGCGACGAUCAACAGUGACCUGAAGCAUUCUGAAACAUCCAAAAAGUACACAUUAAAAAUCAUGUUUAUGGCAAAUAGAAAAAAUAAUUUUGUAAUAUAAUACUGCAAUUUA